rnacentral:rRNA from 1 species
AGCAGCCGCGGUAAUUCCAGCUCCAAUAGCGUAUAUUAAAGUUGUUGCAGUUAAAAAGCUCGUAGUUGAAUUUCGGAAUCUGUCCGUUGGUCGGGCUUAAUUGUCCGUACUGAUGUGAUGGGUUCUUACCUUCUGAAUAACCAUCAUGCCAUUAAUUUGGUGUGUUGGGGAAGCAGGACUAUUACCUUGAAAAAUUAGAGUGCUCAAAGCAGGCUAGCGCCUGAAUACAUUAGCAUGGAAUAAUAAAAUAGGACGGCAUGGUUCUAUUUUGUUGGUUUCUAGGAUCACCGUAAUGAUUAAUAGGGAUAGUUGGGGGCAUUAGUAUUCAAUUGUCAGAGGUGAAAUUCUUGGAUUUAUUGAAGACUAACUUCUGCGAAAGCAUUUGCCAAGGAUGUUUUCAUUAAUCAAGAACGAAAGUUAGGGGAUCGAAGACGAUCAGAUACCGUCGUA